rnacentral:rRNA from 1 species
CUUCCUUAACGCGAAAGAACCUUACCAUCCUUUGACAUGGCGUGUUACGUGGAGAGAUUCACGGUCCACUUCGGUGGCGCGCACACAGGUGCUGCAUGGCUGUYGUCAGCUCGUGUCGUGAGAUGUUGGGUUAAGUCCCGCAACGAGCGCAACCCACGUCCUUAGUUGCCAUCAUUCAGUUGGGCACUCUAGGGAGACUGCCGGUGAUAAGCCGCGAGGAAGGUGUGGAUGACGUCAAGUCCUCAUGGCCCUUACGGGAUGGGCUACACACGUGCUACAAUGGCGGUGACAGUGGGACGCGAAGGAGCGAUCUGGAG